rnacentral:lncRNA from 1 species
UAUGUAACAGAUCAUGACUUGGGUAUUACGUUUCCUUGUAUAUUACGGAACGGCCUAAAGUCCUGGUUUGAUAAGAUUGUAAAGUAGAGUUAGGAAACCGAUACCGUAUUGGAUAAGGUUUCUAUCUUGUAAUCCUGCCCCCCAUUCUAUAUAAGGUGGGCAGGAGGCCCUCUAGAGGGCAUGAGACAACCUGAUCGUCAGAUCUAUACUACACCCGGCGGAUUCAAAUCCCCAAACAGGAGUAGGGUAUUACCUCUCAUUGAGAGGGCCUGAACCUGUCUAAAUCCUUUGUCUCUGCAUCCAUCCACUUUAGGUCUCGUACGCUACCCCCUUUUAUUAUUGCCGAAUUCAUGUUUCGACAGUUGGCGCGCCAGGUAGGGGUUGCGUCGAGUUUCCUAUCAACGAGCGCGAUGGAAUCAAUUUCAUGAGUCGCCGACUUCGCUUUCGCUUUGGGAGUUUUCACUUCCUUUCCGUCGACCACUUCUUCAAGCUCCUCUUCUCUGACUUGAUCCAAAUCAGUCAGGGGGAAACUCAAUCUGAUUUUUAUCAUUAUUUAUCAUAUUGAUUUUUAAUCUCAGAUUAAUUUCUUGCUAUUUUUUGUUGUUGUUCGCAUAUAACUACGCGGCACUAUUGAGGCGAUUGAUGCUGGUCAUGGACUCGAGGCGUCUCAGCUUUCCGGUCGAUCGGCCGCGAGUCCACUCCGCCGGCUUGUCCUCGCCACCGCCAUUGCUGAUAGCAACAACGACUUCACCGCCGGCCUACCUCCGUCGCCGCCGACUGGUGUCAUCGCCUAUACGGUUGGUCGGUCACACCACCGUUCAUGGGCGUCCAUGUCUUCACCGACCGGCUGGCCUUCGCCGCCGCCGACUGGUGUUUCCGCCUGCACGGCUGGCCUAUUAUGCCGCCGCUGUUGGGCGUCUACGACUUCACCACCGGCCUGCCUCCGUCGCCGCCGACUGGUGUCCUCGCCUAUACGGUCGGUUGGUCACACUACCGUUGAUGGGCAUCGUCAUCUACACCGCCGGCCUGCCUCCGUCGCCGCCGACUGGUGUCCCCGCCUAUACGGUCGGUUGGUCACACCACCGUUGAUGGGCAUCGUCAUCUACACCGCCGGCCUGCCUCCGUCGCCGCCGAGUGGUGCCUCCGCCUACACAGCUGGCCUAUUAUGCCGCCGCUGUUGGGCGUCUACGACUUCACCGCCGGCCUGCCUCCAUCGCCGCCGAGUGGUGCCUCCGCCUACACGGCUGGCCUAUUAUGCCGCCGCUGUUGGGCGUCUACGACUUCACCGCCGGCCUGCCUCCGUCGCCGCCGAGUGGUGCCUCCGCCUACACGGCUGGCCUAUUAUGCCGCCGCUGUUGGGCGUCUACGACUUCACCGCCGGCCUGCCUCCGUCGCCGCCGAGUGGUGCCUCCGCCUACACGGCUGGCCUAUUAUGCCGCCGUUGUUGGAUGUCUACAUCCUCACCGUUGGCUCACCUUCGCUGCCGUCGACUGGUGUUUCCGCUUACACGGCUGACCUAUUAUGCCGCCAUUAGUGGGCAUCUUCGCUUUCACCGUCGACCGCCUUCGUCGCCGCCGACUGGUGUCUUCAUUGUUAUUGAUGGACGACUUUGUUCCCACAUUGGCCACUUCCGCCAUCACCAAGGGGAAUAUUACAAAGCUAAGUCAUCAUUUAUUUUAUUCUUUAUAUGAUAUUUUUCCUUUUCCUCUGCCUCACUACACCAAUUGGUCUUCCAUUGAGUAGUGAGUCGGGGGCUACAGAUGUUAUAUCAUAUUUUUUAUAAUAUUUAUCUUGAUUGCUUGCGACAUAAUCUGAGUACAAAAGUACCUAUCGAGUUAUGGAGUUCUAUCUUCCUAUGCUUUCCGUUUGGUUUGCCAAUGGAUGGUUGCCUUUGGGCCGAUUCCUAGCACCCGGGGGCUCGUUGGAUGGACCGAGUAACGCAAGGUGCUAAGUAUUAUUCGGAAUAAAUCAAAAGCAUAGAGAUGAGAUAAAUUUAUUUUCUGCUCUUAAUAAUUGCAAAAGUACCCGAGUAGUAAACUCCGAUCCGUGAAACUUUGUUCCAUUAAUGACGAACUCAUGUCACUCAUAUGCAUGUUUGGGAAGUGCUUAGGCCGACUCCCAGUGCUUGGUGGCUAUGACUAGUUGGGCAGAGCGUUUAAACGUAAUGAGUCAACUGCUCGGGGAAAUCAAAAUUGACAAGAGGAGAAAUACAUAUUUAUAAAUAUUUUAAAAUACUUGAUUUUUUCUCGAGUAUUAUAUUUAUAUCAGAUACUACUCAUCCUAUAUGUUUGUUCUGCAGGAUCCAGAUCCAGAUAUGCAUAAAAGGGAUUCAUGGCUUUAAGCUUAUCUCUUACGCUCUAGGAAUGGAUCAGUCAGAACAUCACCACCGGCCGCCUCGUCCGCCGCCGACUGGUGUUUUCGCCUGCACGGUUGGCCUAUUAUGCCGCCGUUGUUGGGCGUCUACGUCUUCACCGACCGGCCGCCUCGUCCGCCGCCGACUGGUGUUUUCGCCUGCACGGCUGGCCUUUAUGCCGCUGUUGUUGGGCGUCUACGUCUUCACCGACCGGCUUGCCUUCGCCGCCGCCGACUGGUGUUUCCGCCUGCACGGCUGGCCUUUAUGCCGCCGUUGUUGGGCGUCUACGUCUUCACCGACCGGCUUGCCUUCGCCGCCACCGACUGGUGUUUCCGCCUGCACGGCUGGCCUUUAUGCCGCCGUUGUUGGGCGUCUACGUCUUCACCGACCGGCCGCCUCGUCCGCCGCCGACUGGUGUUUCCGCCUGCACGGCUGGCCUAUUAUGCCGCCGUUGUUGGGCGUCUACGUCUUCACCGACCGGCCGCCUCGUCCGCCGCCGACUGGUGUUUUCGCCUGCACGGCUGGCCUUUAUGCCGCUGUUGUUGGGCGUCUACGUCUUCACCGACCGGCUUGCCUUUGCCGCCGCCGACUGGUGUUUCCGCCUGCACGGCUGGCCUUUAUGACCGCUGUUGUUGGGCGUCCACGUCUUCACCGACCGGCUUGCCUUCGCCGCCGCCGACUGGUGUUUCCGCCAGCACGGCUGGCCUAUUAUGCCGCCGUUGUUGGGCGUCUACGUCUUCACCGACCGGCCGCCUCGUCCGCCGCCGACUGGUGUUUCCGCCUGCACGGCUGGCCUAUUAUGCCGCCGUUGUUGGGCGUCUACGUCUUCACCGACCGGCUUGCCUUCGCCGCCUCCGACUGGUGUUUCCGCCUGCACGGCUGGCCUAUUAUGCUGCCGUUGGUGGGCGUCUACGUCUUCACCGACCGGCCACCGCAUCCGCCGCUGACUGGUGUCACCGCCUGCACGGCUGGCCUGUUAUAACGCCAACUGAUGCUAUCUUCUUCACGGCUGGCUACAUCGCUGUCACUACUAAUAGGCAUCAGUAUCUUCAACACAAGCUGCCUACGUUUGCCAUGGCUGCCGACUGGUUUCUUCACUUCCAUGGCUACAUGAUUCUACCAGUGUUGAUUAGCCUUAUCUUCUUCACCGCCGGUCAUCUCGUCUGCUGUUGACUAGUGCCCUCGCCUCUACGUCUGGUUUAUACAGCUACCACUACUGAUGGACAUCAUCGUUUUCUGCCGCCGACUCGUGUUAUGCCGCCGUCGACUGGUGCUUUUAUCUUCACAACUGCGUCUUCACUACCAGUUUGCUUCUGUUGCCGCCGACUCGUGUUCACUUCAUCACGGCGAUGCAACUUUGUCAUCAUGGUAGAGCGACUUCAUAUUUAUUAUCUUCGGCACCGGCAAACUCUAUUGCUGCUACUUCGCAAGUUUUACUACUUCACCAACCACGACGUCUUUGUGAACCUCGACAUCUCGGCAUGCAAUGCCAUGUUAUUUUACUACAACAAGUGGCUCUCCAAUAUUCAGGAUUUCUACUUGGACAUCUUCAACACAUACCUUCAAUCAAGUAAUGACUAUUCGACGACAAGAAGCUACAGUUCUCGACUCUAUGUUCAGUUGUUUCCCAACUAAUCAAAGAGUCGGGGGCUACACAAAUACAAGGCUCAAAAUUUGACAAAUUUUAUGUCAAGCUGAAGAAAUCAAUUCAUCAACCAACGAGUCAACUCCAGGAGUCAUUAUCUUCAUCUUUGCUUCGGAACAGACAUUCUACUUCAACAACUUCAAAUAUUUCGGUUUAGACGAGUUGGGCAAUAACAUCAACUCUCCUCCAAUUAUUUGUCUUCACGGUUGGCCUACUACGCAACUGCCGAUAGAGGAUCUCAUCGUUAUCAUCGGCUGCUACAUCGCUAUUGACUGGAUCACCGACAUCGUCAUCUUCAUCAACAUCUUGUCAAGCCUCAUCAACAUAGCAUACUCUGCUGCCGUUGAUGGGAAACUUCGUCAUCAUAGUCGGCUAUCUCUGUUGCCGCUAAUCAUCAUUACCGUCGGAUGCGUUUGUCGCCGCCGAUUAUUUUCUUCAUCUUCAUGAUUGGUGGAUUUCGCCAUCACCGUUGAUGCGCGUCUACGUCUUCAUCGUCGGUUUGCUUUUGUCACCACCGACUGUUCUUUCGUUGUUGUUGGGCGCCUACAUCUUCACUGCUAGCUGACCUGACUGUUGCCGACUGGUUUCUUCGCCUCCAUGGUUAUGCAACUUCAUUACAUUUGAUUGGUGGCAUCUUUACUACCACUGACAUCUUCCGUUACUUCUGAUGAGCAAUUUCGUCUUCAUGUUGGUCAUUUCAUCUCCAUGCCGACUGCGUCAGCUAUUGCCAAUAGACAAUUUUGACUAUGACAGAAGGACAAGCUAUAUGCUCAGGGGCUCAUCAACUCAAGCGUGAGGAUUAUAUCUCCAAUUUGGACUUGUUCCGGAUACAUUCCACAUGGAUUCAUAGUCAUGAGUCUAUUUUCUAUGCUCAAAGGCUGGACCAAUUAUUAUUCCCCGUAAGGGCUAUCAACCGAAUACUUGCGCCAGUCGGGAUUCAAUUAUUAUAUUUAUUUUGGAGUAUCCCAUAAGGGAUAAUCAUUCAGAUCAGAAGCUAUUCAUAUGAGCUACACUUGGUCUAUAUUACCCGGAAGAUUUAUUACUUGGGAGCAUGUUACAUGCGUCAUCCUUUAAAGGGUGUCGAAGGCAUAUUUUUUGGCCUAGGCCUAAUAUGUCUGCAGCCCAUAUUUUCAGGUGUGGCCUGUCACGUUCUUUUAGGGACUUAGGCACUUUUUGCUUAGGCCAAAGUGCGCGUGAUCAAGUGCCCAAUACCUUAAAAUCCUUUUAUACCGCAGUUACUCAACUUUUUAGGAGUUGGUACAAUGCAUCUUAAAAGGUGUCAAACAGUAAAGCUUUAUAUAGCUGUCCCGCUGACUUUUUUAUAUAAGUCAAGGUGCUGUUUGGGUUUUUAAGCAAUUGAUUGGAUACAAUAUCAUUGCUUUUUGCCACGUAAGUGUGUAUUUUUAUUGACCAAUAUUAUGGCUUAGGCUGAUUAUAUAUUAUGGUCAUUUUCCAGGCGGUUGGUAAAUCCUUUAUGAGUUUAUUUACUCGGAUUUUACACCACAUAUGCCAUAUAUUUCCGGGUGUGGUGAAACCAUGUGUCUUUUAGGGACUUAAGCACAUCUGUUAAAGCAGUGUGCGCAUGGCGUAUGCCCAAUACUUUGGAAAUUUCUUUAUUCACAGCAUUCAAGCUUCUUUAUAGUUGUUUUGCUAUGUGAACUUUCAAAAAUGUUGUCAACUUUAGGUUGUACGCAUUAUAUUUUGCCAAGCAGUCGGUAUAUCACUUGGAUCAUAUUAUUCGGGGAUUCACACCGCAUAUGCUAUAUGUUGAUAUCAAGUCACUUGGUUGAUUACAAUUAUCAAAACCACUCGGUUGGUUAGAUUAUUUAUUCCUUGACUAUAUGUUUGGUUGGUUCAAUUAACCACAUAGUCGGGGGCUACACCUAUUAGGUGCAUCUAUUCGAUGCACCUGACUUUAUUUUUCAGCCCUCCACAGUCUUCAAAUUUGGUAAAAGUACCCGGGAGACCAUGGCGAAGAUGAUUGAAGCACUCGGCUUUGGAGUAAUCUAGUUCGAGAGAAGAUUAUAUUUUCGACUGUGAAGGUCUCAGGGGCUACUGUGGAGAUUAUGGGUACCCCAUACCCACACGGCAUGGUUAUCCGACUAGUUAUAGGGGAUAACUUAUAUAUAUGAAAUAUGUAACAGAUCAUGACUUGGGUAUUACGUUUCCUUGUAUAUUACGGAACGGCCUAAAGUCCUGGUUUGAUAAGAUUGUAAAGUAGAGUUAGGAAACCGAUACCGUAUUGGAUAAGGUUUCUAUCUUGUAAUCCUGCCCCCCAUUCUAUAUAAGGUGGGCAGGAGGCCCUCUAGAGGGCAUGAGACAACCUGAUCGUCAGAUCUAUACUACACCCGGCGGAUUCAAAUCCCCAAA